GCCCGGAUGGCGGAAUCGGUAUACGCGCAACACUUAAAAUGUUGUCCGCAAAUGCGGAUGUGGGUUCAAUUCCCACUCCGGGCA
rnacentral:tRNA from 1 species